AGCCAAGUCAGAAGAGCCGUCCUGUUGGAAUCCAAGCCCUCCAUAGGUUCUCCUUUAUCUAACCAUGAUGAUGUGGGUUCUUUUCCUGUCGAUCUUUGAGGCUCAUCUCUUUCUCAAAAAAGAACCGAAGCCCCCAGGAGCCCUGAAACUCCAAAUCAGCCAGAGAGGCCUGGUCUAUGCGAAGACCGUGGGAAUGGAGCUUCUCCUGUUGCACCUGAGGAAGCAGCCAAUGCCAGAUCAAUACAGCACUUACAACGUGCCCCAUUUGGGUGAAUUCUCUUGGACGUUUUCAAACAUCCAAAUCAAACAACUUCAGGUGAACAACUCGGGGGCGUCAUUUGCAAAAGGCCAGGGUGUCCGACUGGCCAUCCGAGAUGCUCAGAUUGUGUUCACUAGCAACUGGACGGUAAAGCA
rnacentral:lncRNA from 1 species